rnacentral:rRNA from 1 species
AGGACGAACGCUGGCGGCGUGCUUAACACAUGCAAGUCGAGCGGAAAGGCCCUUCGGGGUACUCGAGCGGCGAACGGGUGAGUAACACGUGAGCAACCUGCCCCUGGCUCUGGGAUAGCCUCCGGAAACGGGGAUUAAUACCGGACAUUCUCCUUCUUCCGCAUGGUUGAGGGUGGAAAGUUUUUUCGGCCGGGGAGGGGCUCGCGGCCUAUCAGCUUGUUGGCGGGGUAACGGCCCACCAAGGCGACGACGGGUAGCCGGCCUGAGAGGGCGACCGGCCACACUGGGACUGAGACACGGCCCAGACUCCUACGGGAGGCAGCAGUGGGGAAUAUUGCGCAAUGGGCGGAAGCCUGACGCAGCGACGCCGCGUGGGGGAUGGAAGGCCUUCGGGUUGUAAACCCCCGUUUCACCAGGAGCGAAUCAAGACGGUACCUGGGAAGAAGCGCCGGCUAACUACGCGCCAGCAGCCGC